GGUUAAGCGACUAAGCGUACACGGUGGAUGCCCUGGCAGUCAGAGGCGAUGAAGGACGUGCUAAUCUGCGAUAAGCGUCGGUAAGGUGAUAUGAACCGUUAUAACCGGCGAUUUCCGAAUGGGGAAACCCAGUGUGUUUCGACACACUAUCAUUAACUGAAUCCAUAGGUUAAUGAGGCGAACCGGGGGAACUGAAACAUCUAAGUACCCCGAGGAAAAGAAAUCAACCGAGAUUCCCCCAGUAGCGGCGAGCGAACGGGGAGCAGCCCAGAGCCUGAAUCAGUGUGUGUGUUAGUGGAAGCGUCUGGAAAGGCGCGCGAUACAGGGUGACAGCCCCGUACACAAAAAUGCACAUGUGAGCUCGAUGAGUAGGGCGGGACACGUGGUAUCCUGUCUGAAUAUGGGGGGACCAUCCUCCAAGGCUAAAUACUCCUGACUGACCGAUAGUGAACCAGUACCGUGAGGGAAAGGCGAAAAGAACCCCGGCGAGGGGAGUGAAAAAGAACCUGAAACCGUGUACGUACAAGCAGUGGGAGCACGCUUCGGCGUGUGACUGCGUACCUUUUGUAUAAUGGGUCAGCGACUUAUAUUCUGUAGCAAGGUUAACCGAAUAGGGGAGCCGAAGGGAAACCGAGUCUUAACUGGGCGUUAAGUUGCAGGGUAUAGACCCGAAACCCGGUGAUCUAGCCAUGGGCAGGUUGAAGGUUGGGUAACACUAACUGGAGGACCGAACCGACUAAUGUUGAAAAAUUAGCGGAUGACUUGUGGCUGGGGGUGAAAGGCCAAUCAAACCGGGAGAUAGCUGGUUCUCCCCGAAAGCUAUUUAGGUAGCGCCUCGUGAAUUCAUCUCCGGGGGUAGAGCACUGUUUCGGCAAGGGGGUCAUCCCGACUUACCAACCCGAUGCAAACUGCGAAUACCGGAGAAUGUUAUCACGGGAGACACACGGCGGGUGCUAACGUCCGUCGUGAAGAGGGAAACAACCCAGACCGCCAGCUAAGGUCCCAAAGUCAUGGUUAAGUGGGAAACGAUGUGGGAAGGCCCAGACAGCCAGGAUGUUGGCUUAGAAGCAGCCAUCAUUUAAAGAAAGCGUAAUAGCUCACUGGUCGAGUCGGCCUGCGCGGAAGAUGUAACGGGGCUAAACCAUGCACCGAAGCUGCGGCAGCGACACUAUGUGUUGUUGGGUAGGGGAGCGUUCUGUAAGCCUGUGAAGGUGUGCUGUGAGGCAUGCUGGAGGUAUCAGAAGUGCGAAUGCUGACAUAAGUAACGAUAAAGCGGGUGAAAAGCCCGCUCGCCGGAAGACCAAGGGUUCCUGUCCAACGUUAAUCGGGGCAGGGUGAGUCGACCCCUAAGGCGAGGCCGAAAGGCGUAGUCGAUGGGAAACAGGUUAAUAUUCCUGUACUUGGUGUUACUGCGAAGGGGGGACGGAGAAGGCUAUGUUGGCCGGGCGACGGUUGUCCCGGUUUAAGCGUGUAGGCUGGUUUUCCAGGCAAAUCCGGAAAAUCAAGGCUGAGGCGUGAUGACGAGGCACUACGGUGCUGAAGCAACAAAUGCCCUGCUUCCAGGAAAAGCCUCUAAGCAUCAGGUAACAUCAAAUCGUACCCCAAACCGACACAGGUGGUCAGGUAGAGAAUACCAAGGCGCUUGAGAGAACUCGGGUGAAGGAACUAGGCAAAAUGGUGCCGUAACUUCGGGAGAAGGCACGCUGAUAUGUAGGUGAAGUCCCUCGCGGAUGGAGCUGAAAUCAGUCGAAGAUACCAGCUGGCUGCAACUGUUUAUUAAAAACACAGCACUGUGCAAACACGAAAGUGGACGUAUACGGUGUGACGCCUGCCCGGUGCCGGAAGGUUAAUUGAUGGGGUCAGCGCAAGCGAAGCUCUUGAUCGAAGCCCCGGUAAACGGCGGCCGUAACUAUAACGGUCCUAAGGUAGCGAAAUUCCUUGUCGGGUAAGUUCCGACCUGCACGAAUGGCGUAAUGAUGGCCAGGCUGUCUCCACCCGAGACUCAGUGAAAUUGAACUCGCUGUGAAGAUGCAGUGUACCCGCGGCAAGACGGAAAGACCCCGUGAACCUUUACUAUAGCUUGACACUGAACAUUGAGCCUUGAUGUGUAGGAUAGGUGGGAGGCUUUGAAGUGUGGACGCCAGUCUGCAUGGAGCCGACCUUGAAAUACCACCCUUUAAUGUUUGAUGUUCUAACGUUGACCCGUAAUCCGGGUUGCGGACAGUGUCUGGUGGGUAGUUUGACUGGGGCGGUCUCCUCCUAAAGAGUAACGGAGGAGCACGAAGGUUGGCUAAUCCUGGUCGGACAUCAGGAGGUUAGUGCAAUGGCAUAAGCCAGCUUGACUGCGAGCGUGACGGCGCGAGCAGGUGCGAAAGCAGGUCAUAGUGAUCCGGUGGUUCUGAAUGGAAGGGCCAUCGCUCAACGGAUAAAAGGUACUCCGGGGAUAACAGGCUGAUACCGCCCAAGAGUUCAUAUCGACGGCGGUGUUUGGCACCUCGAUGUCGGCUCAUCACAUCCUGGGGCUGAAGUAGGUCCCAAGGGUAUGGCUGUUCGCCAUUUAAAGUGGUACGCGAGCUGGGUUUAGAACGUCGUGAGACAGUUCGGUCCCUAUCUGCCGUGGGCGCUGGAGAACUGAGGGGGGCUGCUCCUAGUACGAGAGGACCGGAGUGGACGCAUCACUGGUGUUCGGGUUGUCAUGCCAAUGGCACUGCCCGGUAGCUAAAUGCGGAAGAGAUAAGUGCUGAAAGCAUCUAAGCACGAAACUUGCCCCGAGAUGAGUUCUCCCUGACUCCUUGAGAGUCCUGAAGGAACGUUGAAGACGACGACGUUGAUAGGCCGGGUGUGUAAGCGCAGCGAUGCGUUGAGCUAACCGGUACUAAUGAACCGUGAGGCUUAACCUU
rnacentral:rRNA from 1 species